rnacentral:rRNA from 1 species
UACGAACUGUGCGAACGUUAUUCGGAAUCACUGGGCUUAAAGGGUGCGUAGGCGGUUAUCUAAGUCAGGUGUGAAAUCUCUCGGCUCAACCGGGAAACUGCGCUUGAAACUGGGUGACUGGAGUGAGGUAGGGGUGUGUGGAACUUCCGGUGGAGCGGUGAAAUGUGUAGAUAUCGGAAGGAACGCCAGCAGCGAAAGCGGCACACUGGACCUUUUCUGACGCUGAGGCACGAAAGCUAGGGGAGUGAACGGG